GUACACUCCUACGGGAGGCAGCAGUGGGGAAUAUUGGACAAUGGGCGCAAGCCUGAUCCAGCCAUGCCGCGUGAGUGAUGAAGGCCCUAGGGUUGUAAAGCUCUUUCACCGGUGAAGAUAAUGACGGUAACCGGAGAAGAAGCCCCGGCUAACUUCGUGCCAGCAGCCGCGGUAAUACGAAGGGGGCUAGCGUUGUUCGGAUUUACUGGGCGUAAAGCGCACGUAGGCGGACUAUUAAGUCAGGGGUGAAAUCCCGGGGCUCAACCCCGGAACUGCCUUUGAUACUGGUAGUCUUGAGUUCGAGAGAGGUGAGUGGAAUUCCGAGUGUAGAGGUGAAAUUCGUAGAUAUUCGGAGGAACACCAGUGGCGAAGGCGGCUCACUGGCUCGAUACUGACGCUGAGGUGCGAAAGCGUGGGGAGCAAACAGGAUUAGAUACCCCGGUAGUCCC
rnacentral:rRNA from 1 species